rnacentral:rRNA from 1 species
AUCGAACGCUGGCGGCAGGCUUAACACAUGCAAGUCGAGCGGAGUGAUGGUGCUUGCACUAUUACUUAGCGGCGGACGGGUGAGUAAUGCUUAGGAAUCUGCCAUUUAGUGGGGGACAACAUUCCGAAAGGAAUGCUAAUACCGCAUACGUCCUACGGGAGAAAGCAGGGGAUCUUCGGACCUUGCGCUAAAUGAUGAGCCUAAGUCGGAUUAGCUAGUUGGUGGGGUAAAGGCCUACCAAGGCGACGAUCUGUAGCGGGUCUGAGAGGAUGAUCCGCCACACUGGGGCUGAGACACGGCCCAGACUCCUACGGGAGGCAGCAGUGGGGAAUAUUGGACAAUGGGCGGAAGCCUGAUCCAGCCAUGCCGCGUGUGUGAAGAAGGCCUUUUGGUUGUAAAGCACUUUAAGCGAGGAGGAGGCUCUCCUAGUUAAUACCUAGGAAGAGUGGACGUUACUCGCAGAAUAAGCACCGGCUAACUCUGUGCCAGCCGCCGCCGUAAUAC